CCCCCGACGCGCCGUAGCCGCGGGCCCCGGCUGGGCGCCACGCUACGGAGGAGGCGUAAGGCGUACCGGGUGGGCCGGGCGGGACGGCGGGCGCUACGGAGGCGGCGUAAGGUUGCCGGGCCGAGACUAGAGCUUCGGGGCCGAAACGCGCUAAGCCGACGGAGCAUCGCGGCUGGCGCGAAGGGGGCCUAAGUGCCCUCCGGUUGAAGUUGUGGGUCAACCGAUUGAGGGCCGGCAUCAAGGCCGCGCCCGCCUAGCCCGACCGCGAGCGCUGAGAAGGCGCCGCCGGCUCGCUAAGGACUUUGCUCAUGCAGAUAAUCCCAAAGGCUGCAUUUGGCAUUCUUGGGCCAAAGUCCAAACCCUGAUAGGAGGAGCGUGCUGUCUUGGUGAGUGCUGCAGUGGACACACUGACAUUUUGUCAUCUGCGUGGCCCCAGGUGAGCUAUCAAGCACUGUGGCUUGGUUGAUGGAGCCCCAGAGGUGAGAGGGAGUGAAGAGCCCCUUUCUCCGGGCCGGUGCUCUCUGGUGACCAGCCCUCCGCCCUGCCAGCUGGGUUCUCUGGCUUUACAGAAACUGUUUUGGGGGAAGCUGUUGCUAGUGGGGUUUAAUUCUGUCUUUUGGGCCUCAUACCCUCUUGGAUGUACCAUCUGAGAUGUCUGCCUAUGGCCUGCCCGUGACCCCCACCUGGAAUUCUUGUGCUGUGAUAUCUUGGCCAAAAAGAGGCUCAAAGAGCGGAGGGUGGUCCAUUUCUGUGGAGGCACUCUGCCUAUUUUCAGGGAAUGCUGUUCAGCCAGUUCUCACAUGGUUGAGUCCUCCCCUGGGGUAGAUCCCAGCCUAGUUUCUUGAGGAGGAUUCACUUCCUGUCCCCAGGCCAUUUCCUCUGGAGCUGGCCUUGAUGUCAGCUGUGUUGCCUGAGUUGCGGCCCAGCAGUGGUUUGUUCUUGGUUUCACAGCUGGACUGCCUGCCUCCUGCCCUGGUAGGUACAAUGCUAAGGUAUGGUGGAUCCUAUUGGUACCAGGUGCGGCUAGCACUCAUGUUCUGUCUUGCCAUCCACUGUCUCAAGAGACGAGUGAUAUUGGGGUUACUGCAGUUAGAAUGGGAGAAGAUGGCCCUUCGUAAAAUUACCAAGAGGAGGAGCUUGUGUGGUAGGUCUUCUAAUCAGUUGGUGUGAGAAACCGCAUUCUGUUCUUAUUUUACUGAGGUUGGGUACUGUGCUCAGGGCACUCCUAAAUGGGGAGACAGGGAGACAUUGUACUUCCUAUACCAAGAACCCUUGAAACACAAGGUCUCCCUAGCCUUGACUUAGUGAUAUCCCCAGAUUGUCCUUCUGAGAAUGAGGUAUCCCACAAGUCUUGGGGAGCUCUGGGCAGGAAAUACUGACUUGGCUGUUUUAGUGUGGGGCAAAAAGACAGACUCUACUAAGGGACCCUCACGGUAGGUUUUGCAGCCCUUAGGUCUCAUGGCUUAUGAAAGCCAUGAUGGUCCCCACCCAACCUCCAACCCUGAGCACCCGUGAGGAAGAACUGUGGGCCUGGCCUACCUGGGAUGUACUAAGUAUCUCACCUCCAGACUACUGUCAUGACCAACACCUUUUCUCAGCUGAAGGCGGAGCUGGGGACAACAGAAAGAAGCUGUUGAUGUUAUCACUAGGACUCCUGACAGCGAGUAUCGCUUUGUGGUUCUAUGCAGAAUCCAUGGAGGCAUCCUCCUGUCUUCUCAUGCUUGUCCUGGGUGGACAUUCUCCAGCUGCCCUCAGCAUGUGCAGAGAACAUCUCACACCAAGGCUGGGGACAUGCUAAUCCACCUUGAUAAUUAACACUUUGGCUUUCAGAACAGUGGCAGCCCCACUUCCUUGCUUCCUUGAAGCCUCAUCUAGGCCACUGUCCCAUUUAAAAGUAGAACAGUUCCCAAAUGCAAAUAAGGGAGGAACUGACUGAUUUGUUUUGGAGUGGGAAAGGCAUAAGCCCUAGGACUGAUAAGAUGGGUGAACCUAUCUCUCAAAUCUUGUGGUCCUUAGUACCCCCUGCCCCUUCUGCCUCUUGUUGGAGACUGCUGUGGUUACACUUAAGUCAUGUAGCAGUGAGACAGCGUCUGGGGUAGGAUCUCUGAGAAUCACUAUUUGCUGUGUCCAGCCUCCUAAGACAGCCUGACCUGCAGCAGGGGUCAAAGGGUGUUUGCUAAGCACACAAGCUGGAGUAAAAGGAGGUGCAAGUGAAGUGCUUUCAGGAGGAGGGAGGGGCUUUGUCCACCAGCAAGCCCUGUCAGAGAAGACAGCCCUUGGGGUGGCUCAGGCCUGCCACCCAGAUUGGGGGACAUACUCUCUUCUCCUUCCUGUUCUCUUUGGAGUACAGCCUAGGCAACCAGAAUGUGAACAAAAACUGGAUCCACCUGUGUUGGCAUUCUUGCGCAUCCCUGCCUGUCACCACAUGCUAAUUAUAUUGGUAUGCUCUGGCCUAGAUGGGAGAGACCUGGGAGGGGCCAGCCUCCUUCACUCAAAGGAGGUCCCAGUGUCCUUGGCAAAGUGGCCUGGGUGUGAUAAUUGCUUCCGUAGAGGGUUGGCCAAGCCAGAGAAACAGCCAACACUCUCUAGCUAGGGCUGCUACUGGAUUCCCCUUCUACCCUUUCAGAGGUCCCUGAGUGCAGUUGUCAGAACCCAGAAGGAAGUCAUGUAGAACCUUUUUUCUAUACAGCUGUCUACCAUACAUGUGGAGUUAACAACCACAGAAGGUGCUGGAGCCUAUAGUUGUGCCAAAAAAGCCUGCAGAAGGAAGGUGGGUUUCAAGAAGCACAUGUGUACAGUUGGGUGUGGUGACACAUGCUUAUAAUCCUAUACUUGGAAGACAGUGGCAGGAGGAUCAGGAGUGGAAGAAUAUCCUUGGUUACAUAGUGUUUUAGGCUAGCUUGGGAUACAUGAGAAAUACUGAUGCCAGCCUCUUGAGGUAACAGGGCCCCCUAGGCCAACAAAGACCUAAUAGCCAACUGCUCUCUGGUGUGUGUGUUGGGGGGUAAGGGUGUACUAAGACUGCUAGCAUCUUUUAGGUGGCCUUUAGUCAAGACAGAGGCUCUUCAGCACACCAAGGGACUCUCUCCAUCCUAACAUUGGAUAUGGUUGGGACUUUAUAGCAUGGAGAACUGAGAGCAUUGCUCUUCCUGCCUACCUUUCUUCUUUGCUCUGCAUACUUAGCAAAAAAAGAAUGUGCUGUCCCUACCCUUUCAAGAGAUUCUAUGCUCAAGGCAUCCCCAGUGAGCAAGCACAAAGGCAGGAGGAGGAUAGUCCCUGGACAGGAUGAUGAGAGGGAUAGGUGGGGAUUAUAGGAGCUAUGGGUCAAGCAGCACUCAAGUUCAUGCAGAACUCUAAUAUCUUCUGGAGAAGCAGGUAAUCCAUCCUCCUGGAGGCAGCCCAUGAGUAUAGUGCAUGCUUUCACAGUGAAUGUAGCAAAGCCCAGUGUUGGCAGUAGAUCACCUCAGGACCCUAUUGUAAGCAGUUUCUGUGUCAUGGGCAUCUCCGCUGAGCCCAGUUCCCAACACUCUUCCCUCCCUCUUACCUGCUCGGGGUUUGAAUGUGAGAGAGGAGCAUCAGAAAUGUUGGGGUGCAUUUCUCACAGGAGUCUCCUGUAUUGCUAGGGCUUGUCAGUUUGGGGGAUUGUUCUGGCGCUGACAAUCACAGGAGAGGCAGGUGCACAGGGUGACCAUUAUAAUGUGGGUCUGGUGGACAGAGUGUGUGUUUCUGGGCGCCUGAACAGAAUCCUGUCACCAACACCAACGGUUCACUAACACCCAUACAGAGCAACCAGCACGUGUGGCUACUGAGUCCCAUGAAGUGACAUGUCUUUGUUGAGCUAGAAAACAGUCUAAAGAUCUUGAUCAGGGCCAAGUGCCAUGGUCAUGCCUGUAAUUGUAGUACUCAAAAAGCUGAGGCAGGAGAAUUGGGAGUUUGCUCCCAGUUUAGGCAAUGUAGCAAUGUAGGCAAUGUAAAACCCUAUGUGAAAACAAUCAAAGGCCAUAAGAGUGGGCGAUUAGCUAAGGUUACUUAGUAACACCAUGAAUGGGCUAGGGAGUCAGGAGAGGCACCU